UGGGAGAUGGUGAAAUGGUAUCACACCACGCUCUGGACGUGGCAUUCUAGGUUCAAGUCCUAGUCUCCCAGCCA
rnacentral:tRNA from 1 species